rnacentral:snRNA from 1 species
GUGCUCACUUUGGCAGCACAUGUACUAAAAUUGGAACGAGACAGGGAUUAGCACGGCCCCUACGCAAGGAUGACUUGUAAAAUACACAGUUCAUUGUUUUUUUG